rnacentral:lncRNA from 1 species
CCAGCAAAUAUAAGCCUUUGCUGAUCGGGAGGAAUACCUUCCUUGUCUUGAAUCUUAGCUUUAACGUUGUCUAUGGUAUCAGAACUCUCCACCUCGAGGGUGAUAGUUUUGCCAGUCAAUGUUUUCACAAAGAUUUGCAUCUGUUCAAAUCAAUCAUAUCAUAAACAGUACGCAAUAAAUCAUAUUUCAAACCCUACUCAACUAAAAUAGGGACAAAUCGAUACAAUAGAAAAUAUGAAACUAAGCAACUAAUUUGACGAAAAACAUCACAAAACCUAUGGCAGGCCACAAAUCCGAAACGCAAACCCUAAUUGAUUGAAAUAGGGGCAAAUUGGUACACAGAAUAUAGAAAAUUUAACAAUUUAUUGGGGAAAAGCUUCCUAUCUAUAGCAAAUCACGAAUCAGAGAAAAUUGAAUUGAUCCAUAAAUCAAAACCACAUUGAAAAUUGUUCAAAAAUUCACAAUAAUGAAACCCGCGUGUACACAGAACAUAGAAAAAUUUACAAUUUAUUGGGGAACAGCUUUCUAUCUUCUAUAACAAAUCACGAAUCAGUGAAAAUUUAAUCGAUCUAGCACAGUGAAAAUUAUUCAAAAAUUCACAAUAAUGAAACCCUCAUGUAAUAAUAGAAUCGAAUUGAUCUAUGAAUCAAAACCACACAAAUUGAAACCCGAAUACUAAUAAAACCGAAAAAAUAUUGUGAAUGGAUGAGGAAGAGAUAGAUAGAUACCUUGAAUGAAUCGUAGAAUUGUCGAAGAAGAAAGAAAAGAGCGUUUGGAAAUUUU